rnacentral:rRNA from 1 species
AGCAGCCGCGGUAAUACGGAGGGAGCUAGCGUUAUUCGGAAUUACUGGGCGUAAAGCGCACGUAGGCGGCUUUGUAAGUAAGAGGUGAAAGCCCAGAGCUCAACUCUGGAAUUGCCUUUUAGACUGCAUCGCUUGAAUCAUGGAGAGGUCAGUGGAAUUCCGAGUGUAGAGGUGAAAUUCGUAGAUAUUCGGAAGAACACCAGUGGCGAAGGCGGCUGACUGGACAUGUAUUGACGCUGAGGUGCGAAAGCGUGGGGAGCAAACAGGAUUAGAUACCCUG